rnacentral:rRNA from 1 species
GACGUAGGGCGCGAGCGUUGUCCGGAUUUAUUGGGCGUAAAGAGCUCGUAGGCGGCUUGUUGCGUCGGCUGUGAAAUCCCGUGGCUUAACUGCGGGUCUGCAGCCGAUACGGGCAGGCUGGAGUGAUGUAGGGGAGACUGGAAUUCCUGGUGUAGCGGUGAAAUGCGUAGAUAUCUGGAGGAACACCGGUGGCGAAGGCGGCAUCCUGGACCGGCAUUGACGCUGAGGCGCGAAAGCCAGGGGAGCAAACGGG